rnacentral:lncRNA from 1 species
CUGCACUCAAGACUCCAAAUGAUUUAAAAAGAUUUUUAAAUGAGUUUCAAAUGGCUUUUGGAAUAAAAGAAAAAUGAAAAAAAUAGAAACUCUCCCUCUCCCUGUUCCCGGCCGAAAGCCCAGCUCCCCUCCUCUCUCGGCCUACCUCUGUUCUUUCUCCACGUUGGCCUGGUGGUCCAGUGGCGCACGGCCAGCCCUUUUCCUUUUCUUCCCCGCGGCCCACACUCCCCUCUUAGGCCCAACUCACGCAGUGGCACCAUCGCG